rnacentral:rRNA from 1 species
ACGAAGGGGGCUAGCGUUGCUCGGAAUCACUGGGCGUAAAGGGCGCGUAGGCGGACUCUUAAGUCGGGGGUGAAAGCCCAGGGCUCAACCCUGGAAUUGCCUUCGAUACUGAGAGUCUUGAGUUCGGAAGAGGUUGGUGGAACUGCGAGUGUAGAGGUGAAAUUCGUAGAUAUUCGCAAGAACACCAGUGGCGAAGGCGGCCAACUGGUCCGAUACUGACGCUGAGGCGCGAAAGCGUGGGGAGCAAACAGG